GACGAACGCUGGCGGCGUGCUUAACACACGCAAGUCGAACGGAAAGGCCCUGCUUUUGUGGGGUGCUCGAGUGGCGAACGGGUGAGUAACACGUGAGUAACCUGCCCUUGACUUUGGGAUAACUUCAGGAAACUGGGGCUAAUACCGGAUAGGAGCUCCUGCUGCAUGGUGGGGGUUGGAAAGUUUCGGCGGUUGGGGAUGGACUCGCGGCUUAUCAGCUUGUUGGUGGGGUAGUGGCUUACCAAGGCUUUGACGGGUAGCCGGCCUGAGAGGGUGACCGGCCACAUUGGGACUGAGAUACGGCCCAGACUCCUACGGGAGGCAGCAGUGGGGAAUAUUGCACAAUGGGCGGAAGCCUGAUGCAGCAACGCCGCGUGCGGGAUGAUGGCCUUCGGGUUGUAAACCGCUUUCGCCUGUGACGAAGCGUGAGUGACGGUAAUGGGUAAAGAAGCACCGGCUAACUACGUG
rnacentral:rRNA from 1 species